GCAGCUGUACUUUUGCUGCAGCCACCGUCUCUUCGCCUUCAGUCGUUACAGAAUUUAAAGAAAUCAGAAGCCCAGAACUCGUGGCCCGGGAAUAUGCCGACCUCAAUCUCUCGGACAAAUUUUGCGAGGUACAUAACAUAUGUAUGCAUUGCAUGGUUGUUUUUUCAAAUAAUCGCGUCUUCACGAAUCAGUUGGAAUUUAAUUCAUAGUUCUUGGGGCUGGGAUCAAAGUGGAAAGAUUAGAAAUUUUAAAUUUUAAUUAAUCACGACUCUGCAUUUUAUUUAUUAUUGUUGGUAUUUUUAUUUCUUGCUGUCUUUAUACUAAUAUAAAAUAUAACAAGAAUAAUGUUGGUUAAUUGUUGUUGUUGCAGGAGGUGGGUCAUGUUAGAAUCCGACAGCAUGUUAAUCCUCUUCGUUCUUCUCUCAUGGUAAUUUCUCCUUUGGUUUUUUUCGCGCAAGUGUGCAAGUGUGCCCGCCUGAGCUGUAUAUAUUUCUGUAUAGGGGAGCAUGUUUGUACUUGCCAGUUUAUUUUUCUCCCAAUUAGACCAACUAGUUUCUGAAAUGUGGAAGUUUGUGUCAAACUAACAUGAUUCGUUGCAAUUGUUAUGAGUAGAUUCCUGCUGAAGUGCCAGAAUGGAAUGAAGUCUAUGAGGAUGCAAAAUUGCCACUGAUGGUGGAUAUUGGGAGCGGUAAUGAACAAUCUUUGCAGUUUAUGCUCUAUUUCUCUCUUGUUUAAAGUUAUUACUCCCUCCGUCGUGGACUUUCCUUAUUUUCUUCUCUCCCAAUUAUGUAGUCAUGUUUUUUAAUUAAAAAAUUUCUGUUUUGUUCGGUUACUAAUAUACCCUUAUUUAAUUUGCCCAGUUAAAACUAAUUUACUACUAUUUGUUGAUAAACAUUAGAUAAGGUUUCUUAAUCCAUGUGAAAAAUAAAAUCAACCUAUAUAAAUGGAACGGAGGAAGUAUUUCUCAUUUUCAGUUAUUAUGGUUUGUGGUUUGCUCCUGGUUUGUGCAAUAGAAAAACACUUUGCAGUUGAUGUUGUUAUACAUAGUUUAUUCUAGGAUUGUUACUCCACUGUUUAUCAGAAAAUGAUAUUUACCUUGUCUAGACAAGUCAUUGACUGUUCUUGGUUUUCAUUUAAUAUCUUGUAUAAUUAGUUAUGCAUUAUGAAAAUGCAAAGUUGCAGAUGAGAUGCAGUCCAUAUUUCCAGUCACCAUAGUUCUGUUUAAAUUUAUUAAUUUCAUCUUCAACUUUGGCAAGUGCCAUAGAUCAGUUUUAUUUUUCUGAUCUAUAGAUGUAGACUGGUGAGGUUUUAACACAAUUCAGCUGGGAUAGAGAAGAGGCAGGGGUGUGUUUUCACAAAGCUUAAUCUCUGAAGGGCCAUUUUUCUACAAUAUCCUAUUUUAUAAGGGAAUGGGUGAUUUAGAAACUAUGAAGCUCAGUGAAAGAGGGGAGGGGGCAGCAAAUCCUAUUCUUAUUCUUUUUUUCUUUUUUUUUUUUAUUUUUUUGGGGGGAAAUUUGCAAAUUUUAAGUGGAAAAGUUAAUAUCGGAAAGCUGGGCAGGGGCUGGGUGCCGGCGGCCAAUUUUCUUAACCUUCCUGUUCUGCUUAAAGUUUCUUCCAUUGUAAGGCAAAGGUUUCACCAACCGCUAAUUUUCUAGCUGCAUUAUAUUCAAUGUUAUGACCUUGGUUUAAAAAGACCCAAUUGAGUGCGUGUCUGUGUGGCUAGCAAAAAAAGCCUCAUGGCUCUGAUUGUGAGGCAAUUUUUGGAGGCAUACUCCUCCAUUGUGGGAGACACACCUGAGAGCUUGCCUUGAUGCCUGUAAGGUGUCUGCUUCUUUAUUCUUUAAACUUAAUUACUUUACUUUAGGUGUUGCCCUCGAAACAUAAAAAUUUUGAUUAGCCCAUUUUGGGAAUACUCACCGGCCAUCGCCCACUGAAACAUUAAAACAUUGUUUUGGAAAUAGUCACUGCCUCCCCCACUAAAAUAAUAGUUUCUUUUUUGCUUUUAUUUUCACAUUCUAAAGUAUUCUAUUAUGGAUUUCCAAGACCGUUUAUGAUUUAUUUUGAGCUUAUUUUUCAUUUUAAUAAUUUUUUGAUGUUUUUGGUUUACGGCUUAUGCCUCAACAUUUAUGCCUUGCCUCAUGUUGGAAAAAUGCCUUAGUACCGAAUUAUGGUUUUUAAAACUUUGGUUUUGACUGGGUUCUUUUCAGUUUAAAUGUGUUGGUGAAGUGAAGUGAACUGAUAUCCAGCAGAUGCUUAGAGUCCUCACUGAUAUAUGACCUCUGGGUCGCUAGUAAUAGCUUAUCUUUAUAACAAUGUAUGAAGAAAAUGAAUCUUUACCAUAUUUGAAGAGACGAUGAGAAUGAAACUUUGUUAAAUGUAAAAAUUGCAUUAGAUUUAUUGGUAAAAGAAUAAAAAAAGGAUCGGUUAUAUGUAGCUGACUUUACUUCUUGAUGUACAGUACACUAAAUUUAUAAAGAAUUACAGGUAGUGGCAGAUUUCUCUUGAGGCUUGCUAAAAAAAAUCCCACAUUUAGGAAUUAUCUGGGAUUGGAGAUACGUCCAAAGGUAUUCACCAAAUAUCCUUACUGUUUUUCAAGAAUGUUUCUACUCGACUAAAGAACAAUAAAAAUAUUAUUACUUUCAGUGACAAAUUAAGUACUGAAUUCUCUUAAUCGGACUAUCUUUUUUUCUUGUGCAGUUGGUCACACGUGCUAAUUAUUGGGUAGAUGAGCUUUCUAUGAGAAAUAUGUAAGAUUUCUAAAGACUACUUACCUUGCUUUGCAAAUACAUUGGAAUAGGCUUAUGUACAUCUAAAUGCAGACAUUUCAUGUUUGCUAAUGCCACGAUCUCCUUCAAACAACUUGUAUCGACAUAUCCUGGACCAUUGAUGUUUGUUUCGAUCUUGGUGAGUGCCCUCCUUGUACUAAAAGUUGCAAAGUGCUCUCUUAUCAACCACCAAAGAUUUAACAGGAAACUUAAUUUCAUUAAAAAUUCCAGCUAUCUGUUGCUUAGAACUAAAUGAGUAUUCACUCGUGCAUUCAGUGCCCAGAUCCACAUUUCAAGAAGAAGCAUCGCAAAAGAAGGGUUGUGCAGAAGCCUCUUGUUGAGUCAAUUGUGGACAGUUUAAUGCCAGGUGGACAGGUACCUGCUCAAAACCUCAUUUAGUGUAUGCUAUUUAUCAUAAAGUCUUCAAGAGUUAAGGUGUUUAUAAAACUGAUCGAGUAUGAUCCUCUGUGAUACACGUUUUUAUGAGUUCUUGAAACUUCAAUACCUUAAGUGACUUAAGUCACGUACGUUAGCUGGAUCAUCUUAAGGCUGUCCAAAUCAGUGAUUGAUUUGCACGGAAAAAUGGGAAUAGAUCUUUCAUGACCUUAGGAACAGUUGGAUGUCAGGUAUAGUGACAUAUUAAUUUAUCAUGUAGAUCUUGUCUGUUGAUGCAGCACAUAGAAAAUACCCCAUCACCAUCGAGCUUGACAUAUCCACAAUUUGCUAUCUUACCAUUUGUAUCAGUAGUAGUACCGAGUUCCAUGUCCUCUUCUCAAUAUAACCAUUUUAACAUUCUGAUCUGAUCCAUUUCUUAUAUAUAAUAGAAAAGAAAGAAAGCACUGUGACAAUUGAUGUGUUAAGCUAAGACAUCGUAUUUGCUUGUGUUCUAUUGUUUCUUUAUAUGUUUGAUUGUGUACAGUUCAUAAGAAUUUAAAAUGUUUGUCCUUUCUCCUUUAUCUGUAUUUAUUGAACAAAUAAGUUCUUUUUUUUCGCAACAACUCGUAUUUGUGUUCAACUCAAUUGAAGUCUUGUUUCAUUCUCAUAUGUACAAAGCAAAUAUAAAAGUUAAUCCUUGUUUAAAAUUUUUAAAAUAAUAAUUUGAGGCAUUAUAAGUAAUUGAUGUAUUUUAAUCAAUAUUGUAACAGGAUAAACUGCUCACUUGGUUUGUUUGUUUAAAAAUUAAAUGUCCUCCAUGUUUUUCUUGUUUGUUGAUUGACGAACAUAUAUGACAUAUUGUUGGAUUUUAUGCGCAAUAUUAAAGAGAUGAAAACGAUAAUCAACACAAGAAUUUUACGUGGUUCGACGGUGUGCCUACGUCCACGAGAGCGAAGCGGAGAUUUCUUUAUUCAGAUGUGAAAAAUAGGGUUACAACAUAUUAUUUAUACUAACCCUAGCCUGGGCCCAUAUAAAACUUUAAGGCCCGUAGGUGGAGAAUUUAAACCCUUUUGAAGCAUCAAAUUUCUCUGCACCUCUCACAAGGCCUCGGCAUCCUUCCUGAUGAAAAUUUGUUAAAAAUGUAGUGUUAGAAAGGAAUCAAACAUCAUACUAUCAGUUUUACAGUUUUUCUUGCGGGAAACACCUUAAGUUAGAUAAUCAAGACCAACGAAGAAAAUAAUUACCUGAACCAAAUCUUGAAGGUUCAUCCCAACUCCCUGAUAAUAUUUUGCAAUAGAAAUAACAAGACGUAUAUUGCUCUUUAUCAUUUUAUCUUUGCAAAGAAUACCAUAAUUUAAACGCUCCCUCAAGGUUUUCUGAUCAACGCUGGCCGCAGCAGCCCAUUGAGCAAAAGUAAACUGGUCCCCAUAACGUUCUGUGAGCUCCUUCUGGAGCCUUUCCAAUUUUAGUAGGUCCUGCAUUCAUGAUGAAUAUAUAUUAGAGGACAAAAAAUUAGACAUGAGAAGAUUCGAAAAGUACACGAGGGAGAAGGAUGAAAGGAGUGUGCACAAGACUUGUAAUAUUUGCCAGUGACAAGUAAGAAUAGUUUCUCCCAGUACUGAAGAAAGUAAUAUUAGGCCCUAUAACAUGAAUGCUGUAUGGGAAUUGAGUUCCAUCAAUUAGGAAGCAUAUUUAAACAGUGAACCAAAAUUUUUCAAAUAAAAAUCCUCUAAAGCAGUGUUGAAAUUUGUAAUUUUCCCAAGGAGGAAAGAGAAAUACUGAAAUAUUAUGUUUCCAUGGUAUAACCGUAUGACAGGAAAGCUUUGAAUUGAUGAAUGUACCAUUUACUCAGUUCUCUUUUUAAUAAUUAGGGAAGGAAAUUAAGAUUCUAGUUAUAACUAAGAAAAUCACAUCCAAAAAGAAUGGCAAGUGGCCAAAAUUUUCAAAAAAGCUAUCAAGAUAGAGAAAUUGUUGAUACACUGACUUGAUCAGGAAAACUACAAAAAAGUUUAAUGUUGACUUUGAAUAUAAACUCUUGUCAUGCCAAAUGUUGAACACGUUUUUAUUCACACCCAAAUUAGUAAUUUAAAUAAAUUGGCAGUGGCUUCCCAAUCUCUUGAUUAAUGAACUUCAACUGUGACUACAACAAAGAGUGCAAAUCUAGACGAGGAUAAUCAGGUACCAGACUUCACAAGAUAUAAAGAUGCAACCAACUAGAUGUCUAGCACUAAUUGGAAAUCCACACGACAGAGGACAGUAAGGUGCCAAACUUUGCAAGUUGUAAGGACAACAAAUUAUUGAUUGACAUUAAAUUAAUCUGGAAAAUUGAUAGUGAUGGUACUAACUGCUAGCCAAAUGCAGUACACAUUCUUUGUUCAUACAAAAAAAUCAUUUACCAAACUAACAAUCUCUUUUAUUUUGUCAUAAGCCCCAUCCCCUGACACCGGAAGUGAAAAAUAAAGAUGCAUAAGAGUACAAAAAUAGGCCGGGAUUGGAAAAGAAAGAAGGAAAAGCUCGAUUCGGUACAAAAAUAGAAAGGCCCAUGGCAGAGUUUUCAGUGAUGUCUAUGGUCCCUCUUGAACUGAUUGAACGAUGUAUUGCUCAAUGAGAAGUAAAAAGUGGCAUGCAUUGUAAACAUAAAGAGAAUUAAAAGAAGGAUAAAGCAUUUUUUUGGCUCGAAUUACCUGUAUUCCUACUGACAACUUCUGUUCUUCAGCUGCUGUAAGUAGCUUGGAACUACUAGUAGUUCCUCUUAAGUAACGCAAUGGGUCAGAAUAAUCUAUAUCCUGCAAAACCCCUUUUUUCCGGGAUGUAGAACCAGAUUUCACACACACAACAUUAGCUGCCGCCUUCUGUGCAGCUCUAGUUCUUCUGGCUUUUCGUUCUAUUUGACGCUUUGAUCUCACAGCUAUACUCCUGGACAAUUGAGCCUUAAGAAGUUCGAGUUCUUCAUGACUAGGCUCCACAUCAGAUUCCGUAAGGAGGAAAGAAGCUGAAUGAUUUUCACCCAACCCUACAGUAACCUUAGACUCUCUGCCAUUCACUCUUUCUGAAAAAUUAGCAAGCUGAUUCCUCUCCAACAAUAAAUUAUCCACUUCAGGCAUGAUUUCUGUAGUUUCGCAAUCUGACAUCAUGGCAGUACGAUUACAGACCAUCAUGGCUGCAUCUUUUGCAACCUUAACUGCUGCCUUUGCUAAAGCAAGUGCUUCAGCUGCAGCCGCUGCUACAACAGCCUCUUCAAUUGUAAUAAGAGUUUCUGUAGCUAAAGUUGCUUGAAGAUUUGCCUGGACGCGCAUUAAAGUUAAUUAUGAUAGAUGAAAGCAUCAAAUGACUAAAGCUAGUGCCAAGAUUUUUUUUUAACCACAUAAAAACUAUUAUAUUUCUUCUCUUUUCUUAAGGCACAAUUGGCAAAAGGGGUGCGUGUGGAAAUUGAAUGAGUUGAUUGAAUAAGCAUACUUUUGCAAUAUGGACUACAGGAUUCACUUCAAAGAAUACCGUAAAAGAUAAGCGCUAAAAUUUUCUUCUGAAAUGUGAUGUAUUUGAAACAUCAAGGUUCACACAAAUUGGAAAGCAGCUUCUAUCUUUAUGAACAACACAAAAAAGAGUUAUAAGAUAUUUAAACUCACUUAUUUACAGAUUCCUUACAUGAACAACAAAUGUAAUAGCCUUUUUCUUUUACUAGACCUCGAGAUAGUUAACUGAAAACUUUCUGUUAUAUCAAUACAAGCCCUAUGCAAUGAUUUUCUAGCGUUCAAUUAGGUAGCAUGUACGUAUUUGAAUUCUCACCUCAGUGGGUGGACAAACUGCUUCAAUAUACGUCCAUGUUCUGUUUGCGGCUAUAGAGUUGGAAUGAACAUCUAAAGAGGGUAAUUUUAGCUUGUCCAAGUCAAGCACUGCAGAUCUUGUUGGUUUCGAAGAUCUGUCAGCAGGUACUGAAUUUGAAAUGACUUCUAAUGAUGGUAAUUGUAGCUUCUCUAACUCGAGGACCGUAGUUGUUGCCGUAGAUAAGAUACACUGUGUCCGGAAAUAAAUAGGAUCUCUACUUUUUGCUGCAUUUUAGUCAAUGAUAAAUAUUAGAUCCAAAUUCUACUUGCACCUUGGACACUGUAUUUCAUUAGAAACUUCCCCUGACCACUAGGAUGUUCUAAUAUUGGGCAGUUCCACAAUUAGAAAAAAUUUAAUUGCAGAUCAUAAUUAAGUGCUUUCUGAUAUUGAUUGUGAGAAUGAAUAGAAAGAACAUUCACAUUAUUUUGUAAUGUUCAACUACAUCCACAUAAAAAGGAAGGUCAUAAAGAGAAAGACGCAUUUGGUUUAAAACAGAAUCUACACAGAGUCAGGAAACCAAAUGAUGAAAAAUAAUAGUACAUGGAGACAUACAAAAGUGAAAAUAGAGAUGGACAUUGGCAAAUCAGACCAACUUAAAGGGAAAACAUAUAAACUAUAUAAUGCAAAAUGAUGACAGGAACCUGCAAUGUUUGUCAGGAAUCUAUGCUUGUACCAAGAAAAGUUAACAAUUAAUAUAAUUAUUAUUGAGAUGAACAAAUGUGGAUCUAAUGAUCAAAGCACUACACAGUCAAUCCCUAUAGAAAUUUCAAUCCAGAUUCUCCAUUUGGUGUAACGAGAUCUUUAUUUAGCUUGUUUAGUCAUUGCACUUUGGUGUUACUGUGCAUUAGCCAUAGGCGAAAGGAGGUGAGAAGAUUGUGAUUGUACUUUUACUUGUUUAUUGUCUUUUUUUCCGCAAUUAAGUUUCAUUUUAUGUUUACCAAGAACUCAAAGCCAAUUAAUCCAAGAUAAGAGGCCUACUUCCUCACCCAUAACCCCACCCCGGAAACACACUAGAAUACACACAAACAUGAACAAUGCAGCACCGACGAGACUCGAACUUCUCGAAAACCUAAAAAAUUUAAAUUUCUACACUCCAAUCCAAGUCCAUAAAUAAUGCAAAUUCUCAUAUCUUUACUUCGACAGACACAUACAUAAAGAGAAGGAAUUACCUGGGUGGGUGGAAGAAUGAUUCUGUGAUUUAAAGUUAACCGAAAAAGUGUCCGGCAAGCACCUGAAUUGCGGCACCAGACAGGACAUCCUUCUCCUAAAUGUCUAAAUACAUACACACAAGCAGAUUUGUACUCGUGAGCAUGCUAUUCGUACACAAAUACAAUCUGCUUGUAUGAAUGAGGCAAUAAAGCAGGUCUUCAAAAUUAAUUGAGUUAGAGCCGAACAAAAAUAUGAACAGAGAAAACUGUGAGAGGAAAGACUCAGGAGAGAGAGGAGUGAUGAGUUGCCAGAAAAUGAUAAAUAAAUGGAUAAGAGAAUGCUUUUGCCCAAGGAGAUGGAGUUAAUUAUUCCAAUGGUCACUGAACUAGGUCCAUUUUUUUUAUUGGUCACUAAAUUUUAAAAUAUCGAAUUUUGAUUAUUGAACUUAGGUUCAUGUCUUUGAUUAGAAAUUGAACUUUAAAAUAUCAAGUUUUGACCAUUGAAUUUUGAAAAAUGUCGAGUUUUGGUCAUUGAACUUAAAUCAAUGUUUUCAAUUGUUUACUGAAAUUUAAAAUGUCGAAUUUUGACCACUGAACUUUGAAAAAUGUUGUACAUUACUCACUGAAUUUUGAAAAAUAUUGUACAUUUUUUACUGUAAACUCGAUAUUUUUCAAAAUUCAACAGUUAUGCUAGUAAGUAACGUACGGUAUAUUCCAAAGUUCAGUAGCCAAAAUUCGACAUUUUAAAUUUCAAUGAGCAAUCGAAGACAUGAACCUAAAUUCAGUGAUCAAAAUUCGAUAUUUUUUAAAAUUUAGUAGCCAAAACUCGACACUUUAAAGUUCAUUGACCAAUGAAAGACAUGGACCUAAGUUCAGUGACCAAAACUCGAUAUUUUUUAAAGUUCAGUGGCCAACACUAGAUACUUUAAAGUUCAGUGGUCAAUCAAAGAUAUGGACCUAAGUUCAAUAUUAUUGAAACAAUUAACUCAAGGAAAUUAGGACGAGAGAUCGAUAAGCAGCUACCGCUUCUUAUGUUUUGGACUUUGGGCUUUGGAGGCCCAUCUACAGUUGUAAAUAUAUUCCACGCUGAGAAAUAUGGAUAAAGAUACCUGUCCAGGGACACAUGAGUCCUGGACGGUGGCCCUCGACGUAUAGCAGGGUCCGAGAAAAUAUUUGGCUCCUACUUACUAUUUAUAUAGGCACACCCGCUCAAUAAGAACGUGAUACGUAACAAAUAUUUUUUUGUUAUAAUAUAGAUGAUCGUGUUAAAUAUGCCGAACUUUAGACGACAUUGUUGGAUUUGAUGGUUUAUCAUUGAAUUUUGGUUGGUUGAGCUUGAAAUAGCUCCCUAGCGAGUUUUCAUAAACUUAAUAGUCGAUAUGGGUUCAUAACAAUCAGGCACUAUGACGUGACAAUUGAGUCUAUCUAAACUGUUGACAGAUGCAACCAUUGAGGAUGAAUGAUGUGCUCAAAAUUUGGGUCCUCAAGUUGAAUACUAUACGACAUGAAAGUAUUCUUUACGAGUUUAUUAUUUACCAAGUAUCAUUGACUUUUGGGACGUGUUAGUUUCUAUAUUUUCAAUGUAUCUAUGGAAUUACAUACAUAAUUUGGUGCAAUGAAUUCGGAUUCACACACACAUUAAAAAGGCCUUCCCCUAGUUUAAUAAUUUAUUUUAUCAUUUUUUUUAAAAAUUUCGCCCUUUUCCAAAUGAAACUUGAGCUCAAAGUUAUAUUCUUACCAUUUGAGCUGGCUUUGACCUUAAAAUAUUGUGGGAAAAUUCAAAUAUGUCUUCUUCUAUGUUCUUUCACUUUUCUCCAAGUAUACUCUUAAUUAGUCUAUAUAUUUUUUAUGCCUUAAACCUACUUUAUAUGACAUCUUUUAUAAAUACUUUAUGAGUUCAUCUGUAUCUAUAAAUAUUGAAAGCAUUAAUAUUAUGAAAGCUCUCGCCCAUACGGGACUCUAUGUAAUUGCCUAUAGUAUGAUCCGACACAGUUUUUCUCUAAUGCAAUCCCCAAAUAAUAUCAUUCUCAUCUUUCUAUGCAAUAACCUCUCAAGCACAAAGAAAGGGUAGGAAAAACCAAGAGAAAAGAAAAGGGAAAGAUGUGCAAAACCUAGGAAGAGUAGGAAAAUGAUGGCUGUGCAAAAUAUGGGGAGAAUGAAGAAUAAAGAUGGGGAGGCUCCUAUUGGGAAAUAACGAUGAGGCAAAAAAUAUACUGCAUUAUAGAAACAAAGAAGUCUGUUCUUGAAAAUUAUGCAUAUAUCCUUCAUGUUUAACUUUAAGGGUAUUUUCGGAUAGGUCUAUGAGAUCCUUUUUGUAACAAAAGUAGAAGGUUCUUAUCACUUGUCAAAAUGCUCGAUCUAAAAAAAAAAAAUUUGAGGAUGAAAAUACAAGACGAAUAAUAGAUUAGGGACAUCCGCUGCCAUUUUCCCUAAAUAUUUACUUCAAAUUAGAGAGCAAGGGUUCCUUCUUCCAAACAGUAGCAGCUCCACCAUAUCUCCAGCCUUCAUGUUUUCUGCCAUUUCAGCUCCUCUAUACCCAAAUUUUAUCAAAAAAUUAUUACUAGUUACACCGCCUGCUGUCGCAUUAUCAUUACCUCCGCCUUUUGUCCACAACCGCCGUGGCAGCUGUACUUUUGCUGCAGCCACCGUCUCUUCGCCUUCAGUCGUUACAGAAUUUAAAGAAAUCAGAAGCCCAGAACUCGUGGCCCG
rnacentral:lncRNA from 1 species